rnacentral:rRNA from 1 species
CUCCUACGGGAGGCAGCAGUGGGGAAUAUUGCACAAUGGGCGAAAGCCUGAUGCAGCAACGCCGCGUGAACGAUGAAGGUCUUCGGAUCGUAAAGUUCUGUUGCAGGGGAAGAUAAUGACGGUACCCUGUGAGGAAGCCCCGGCUAACUACGUGCCAGCAGCCGCGGUAAUACGUAGGGGGCUAGCGUUAUCCGGAUUUACUGGGCGUAAAGGGUGCGUAGGUGGUCCUUCAAGUCGGUGGUUAAAGGCUACGGCUCAACCGUAGUAAGCCGCCGAAGCUGGAGGACUUGAGUGCAGGAGAGGAAAGUGGAAUUCCCAGUGUAGCGGUGAAAUGCGUAGAUAUUGGGAGGAACACCAGUAGCGAAGGCGGCUUUCUGGACUGCAACUGACACUGAGGCACGAAAGCGUGGGUAGCAAACAGGAUUAGAUACCCUGGUAGUCCACGCUGUAAACGAUGAGUACUAGGUGUCGGGGGUUACCCCCCUCGGUGCCGCAGCUAACGCAUUAAGUACUCCGCCUGGGGAGUACGCACGCAAGUGUGAAACUCAAAGGAAUUGACGGGGACCCGCACAAGUAGCGGAGCAUGUGGUUUAAUUCGAAGCAACGCGAAGAACCUUACCUAAGCUUGACAUCCCUCGGACAGGUGUUUAAUCACACCCUUCCUUCGGGACUGAGGUGACAGGUGGUGCAUGGUUGUCGUCAGCUCGUGUCGUGAGAUGUUGGGUUAAGUCCCGCAACGAGCGCAACCCUUGUCUUUAGUUGCCAGCAUUCAGUUGGGCACUCUAGAGAGACUGCCAGGGAUAACCUGGAGGAAGGUGGGGAUGACGUCAAAUCAUCAUGCCCCUUAUGCUUAGGGCUACACACGUGCUACAAUGGGUGGUACAGAGGGUUGCCAAACCGUGAGGUGGAGCCAAUCCCUUAAAGCCAUUCUCAGUUCGGAUUGUAGGCUGAAACUCGCCUACAUGAAGCUGGAGUUACUAGUAAUCGCAGAUCAGAAUGCUGCGGUGAAUGCGUUCCCGGGUCUUGUACACACCGC